GCGGCGCCAGUCUUGCGGUGUGCGCACGCGUCAAGGGCGCCUUCCGCGUCUCGGUCAUGACCCCGCCCCUUCUCUUGUGUGCUGAGGAGCGCAAAGCUGUUUUUUCAUCUUUGGGGGAAAGUCAUUUGAAGAGUUCAGGUAGCCAGAUAACCACAACUAGAAGAUGUUCCAGAAGAGGAUAACGUGGGUAAAAAUCUUCCUAAUUUUAUACAGGAAUGGAGUACAUGUUAAAAAAUGGUGUUGGAUUCCAUCCUUAUUUAUGGAAGUUAAUUGAAUUACUUUGGAUCCAUCUUCUCUCAAGUCCAUCGGCCUGAUAUGUUGAUACGGGGACAACUGAUGUGUAUAUUGUGAGAGCCUCUUCUGUUACACACACACAUACACACACAUUGAAAUAAUUUAAAAGAGAAGACAAAAAAAGUAUACAGUGCCUGCUUCAAGUAUUAGGUGUAAAAUAUAGCAGAGUAUGACUGUUAUGUUUUGAAAUAUUGGUUCAAGCUACAAACAGUAGAUAGAUUCUGGUGGAUGGAAAUUAAGACAAAGUUCGUGACAAUACCAGAAAUUUGGUAGUAAAACUAAAUACUAAAAUGGUGAAUUGGAUCUGCUCAGAUAAAGUUUAGACAAUCA